AGAAGUGCAAUUUACAGAAGAAAGUGCGAAUCGCAAAAUUCCAUCUGUGGUCGCGGAUCAAGUGAAAGAGCCCAUCAGGAUUUUAGCCAAUGAUUGUGUGGACUGCACUUGAAUUGUGCGGCUAUAGAACAAGGUUUUCACUGGCAAAUUAUUCAAAGUUCAGAGAGUGUGCAAAAUACCAAGACCUAAACUUUUCAUGAAGUGCGGACUACACAAGAAUCAUGCGGCUAUAGAAGAUGCUUUGCAGCCGCAUAUCAGAAUUGUACGGCGACGGAAUUCAAGACCCUGCCAGCUGAAGAAAUCUAUAAAUUGCAUAUGGAGUUGUGUGGCCGUAAAACCUCCCGAGGGGCAUUUUUAUCAGUAAAUUUUGGGCCACUAUUAAUAGAUGAGAUUCGUAUUUUAGGUCAUGUUUUGAAGUUUCAGUUGCUG
rnacentral:lncRNA from 1 species